AACAAAAGAAAACGACGUCGCAUACAUCAUUCAGACAAAUCGAAUUGGGGAUUUUAUUAGGGUUCAUCGAAUUCUAAUUGGGGAUGCAAAGUGUUCCGCAUUUGAGAUAGAGAGAGAUCAAAGACUAAGGGUUUCAGGUUAGUGAGAGUCGGGUUUGAGAGAAAAAGAGAACGAAGACAAAGACUUUUGGGUUUGAGAAAUAAAGAGAAAGACAGUGACAAUGUUCUGGGUUUGGGAGAGAGAGAAAUCGAAGACUGUCGAGUUUGGUGGAUGUGGAUGUGGAAUCGACUUUGACGGAGUAGUAAUUGAGUUUAGUCGAGUUUGGUGGAUGUAGAAUCGACUUUGGCGGAGGGGAAAUUGGACAGCACAAUGAGGAUUUUAAGUGUUUGGAGUUUCUGUACUCGGACUAUUUUGGAUUUUGAUUUAGUUUAUGUAAUAUGGGAAUUUGAUUUAUUUUCGGAUGUAAAACUCAGAUUAUGAUUCAGAUUAUGAUGUAAUUUUGGAUUAAAUUUGGAUUCUAUUUGAUUAUGCAUUUUGGAAUCAAUAUGAUGUUUUGUUAGAGAUUA